AGUUGAUCUGGCUCAGAACGAACGCUGGCGGCGUGCCUAACACAUGCAAGUCGAGCGUGAAAGUUCCUCGGGAAUGAGUAAAGCGGCAGACGGGUGAGUAAUACAUAGGUAAUCUACCUUGAGCUUGGGAUAACCCCGCGAAAGUGGGGCUAAUACCGGAUAAGACCACGUGGCUUAAGUUACGUGGUAGAAGGUGGCUUGUAUUUAUACUGGCUAUCACUUGAGGAUGAGCCUAUGGCCUAUCAGCUUGUUGGCGGGGUAAGAGCCCACCAAGGCUAUGACGGGUAGUUGGUCUGAGAGGACGACCAACCACACUGGGACUGAGACACGGCCCAGACUCCUACGGGAGGCAGCAGUGGGGAAUAUUGGGCAAUGGGCGAAAGCCUGACCCAGCGACGCCGCGUGGGUGAAUGAAGGCCUUCGGGUUGUAAAGCCCUGUCAUGCGGAAAGAACAGUCUUACGGUUAAUACCCGUAAGAUUUGACGGUACCGCAGGAGGAAGCACCGGCUAACUCCGUGCCAGCAGCAGC
rnacentral:rRNA from 1 species